CUACGGGGGGCAGCAGCUAGGAAUCUUCUGCAAUGCACGAAAGUGUGACAGAGCGAGCCAAAGUGCUUCUCAACGAGAAGCUUUUGCCAGAUGUAAAAAAUCUGGAGAAUAAGGACUGGGCAAGACUAGUGCCAGCCGCCGCGGUAAUACUAGCUGUCCAAGUCGCAGCCAUAAUUAUUGGGUCUAAAACAUCCGUAGCUUGCUUUGUAAGUUUUCUGUGAAAUUUGGUAUCUUAAAUACCAAGCGAGCAGGAAGUACUGCAAGGCUAGAGACCAGAAGACAUAAGAAGUACAUCCAAAGUAGUGGUAAAAUACUUUAAUCUUGGGUGGACUAACAAUAGCGAAGGCAUCUUAUGAGUAUGGUUCUGACAGUCAGGGAUGAAGGCUAGGGGCGCAAAAGGGAUUAGAUACCCCCGUAGUC
rnacentral:rRNA from 1 species